UGCCUGGUUUUGGUCUCCUCUGCUGUGUCUCUCCGUGGUGCUGGUGCUGUCUGUGGAGCCAGCCCCGUGCCUGACCAGCCGUGAGUUUCUGAGUUCCCUUCUCACCGCUGAGCCGGGUGAGGCGGCAGGUUUUGCCUCUGCCUGGGCUCAGAGCUGCUAUGUGGAUGUACAACGUCCUGCAGAAAGAUAUGCUGCUCCUGCAGUCUAUCGCUCUCAAGAUGAACGCGAAGAGGGUUUGUAGGUUCAGAAUAGCUCCACUGCAGGGGCUCAAGUGGUCCCACUCUUAGGAGGAAAUCCCAAUUCCACAAACCCAGCUCCUGCUGUUACAUGAGCUGACACCGCGACAAAACAGUGACAGGAAACGAAAUGAUAGGAAAUGAGCACAGAGCCCCGGCUGUUCUUUUGCUCUCCAGAUGUUCCCUUAAAGAUCAAACCCUUUCUGAGAGAUCCUGCGGGAUCUUUGAACUGUUAGAGAAAUUUGAAGUCAGUGUGUGAGUAAACCCCAUGUUUCACAUUCUCUGGGAGGAAACGUGGGAUUCAUCUCAGUGAAGACGGUGCCGAAUAGUGGUAGAUUGAGAUCCAGCACAAAGACUGGCUUGUUACUCUGCAAUGCGUGUGCUGGGAGAAAGUGGAAGGAACCUCACCUUGCCCAGCUGUCCCUGCUGGGUACUGACAGGGUGCCUCCAGUGGGUGCGAGAGAAGAGGAGCAAUGACAGUGACAUUUUGCCUGAUAUUUUGGGAGCUCCAGAGCUGACUGUAUGAGCUGCCAUAGCACAAGCUCCAGCACCACGACUCCCAAGUGGAUUUGUUCCAUCUGCUUCAGGCUGGUAAUGCACCACCCGUGGGACCCUGUCAUCAGCUUUUCCCUCAGCUCCUAGAACUCAUGCAGUGCACGCUGCUGGCCUGUGAAGUACCCAGUGGAGGGCGUUUUCCUUGGGUAGAUCUUUGCCUCCUAGCGCCUUUAAGAGUCUCAGGUGGGAUGGUGGCACCACCGGAUCCCAUGGCUCGCUGAUGUUUUCAUGUGCUGGGAUUCACCUCCAGGAAGAGAUCUAAGAAAGCAUCGUUAAAAAUCUGCAUAAGCUUAUGGGAGCCAGAACAUAUGGGAGCAGAAAGUUGACUGGAAAAUGGCUCACAUAUGUACGCUGCCACUGCCCUUACUGCUGUCUUUGUUGGUCCCUGGAGAGGUGCUGGGAGAGUACAACAGUUGCUGACAGUGAAAAGCAAGAGAAGAGAAGGGAUGCAUUUAUCAGGGAAAGAUGCAGUCAUGACUCUGGCUUGGCAUGAUAAACAGCAUGCGCUGCUCAGAGAUCGGAUUGCAGACAGGUCAAAUUCCCCUGCUCUCUCCCCUGCUUGCUCCUGGAUUCCGCUGCGAUUGAUGCGAACCAGCCUGGUUCUGUGUGCCCUCCUCACAGCUGGGGUCUGCGGGGCUGCAGUGAGCUUGGGAGCAGGGACAGUUUGGGGUUGGGAAGAGACCGAACUGGGAUUUUUCUGAUGCCAAAAGUUCCUGAUCUCAUUGGUAUAGAUAAUGUCAGUGUUUAUAGAUGUAUAAAUGAUUAUGGGGGUGGAGAAAUGGGGGGAUCCUUGGUAGGGACUAGGAGGGGUCUGCGGUGAGGUGGGGGCUUCUGAAAUGGUAGAGGCUUGGGAGUGUGCUCAGGAGAAGAUGGCAGCACUGGCUUGAAAUAUGUUGUCACAGUCUGGAGCAGGUAAGGUUGCUGGGUUUAAGGUCUAAGACAGAAGAGAGAGAAUGUGUCUCACAAAGGAUUGAAGGAGCGUAUUUUGGGGAUAUUCGAGCAACUGUCCCUCCCCCGUCCUGUGCACUUGAUUGCACAUGACAGUCAGUUUUGCUGAUGGAAAUGCGGUGGCUUUGUUUUCUGCCCCACCUUCAACUCCUUGCCUUUUUACUUGUCCGCACAGUAUUAUAUAUCCUGUGGCAUCAUAUAAUUAAAAUAGAUGAUUAUGCAGAUGCAAAUGAAUCCCUACGGAAACCUAGCACAUGGACAAAACACCACGAGCAAGUUCUAACUGAUUAUGCAGCUACA